UUGACAUUUCUAAUUAAUGCUUAUGUUUAGGUAAAUAAAGUUUGUGAAGAUGGGCACUCCUGAGGCUGCAGAGCGGAAGAGACCACCAACACCGCCCACCCCUGCUCACAUCCCUGGCCCAAGAGGAAACUGUAUACGGCCUCUGGGUUCCCAUAGAGGAGGGCCCAGGAGCAGCAGGUCUGCUGCAUCUGAGACACCGCCAGAACCUGAAGGGACCACCCAGAUAAACAGUUCUCUGCACCCAAAUCCCGUGGGAGGGAGAGCUAAAUCUUCAGAGAGGCAGACACGCCUGGGAAACCAGAAGAGACUGCACUCUGCACACAUCUCUGACGCCAGAGGAAAACACCAAAUGCCAUCUGGAACCCUGGUGCACAGAAGCUCCCGGAAAGGGCGGCGCAGAUCUUCCUGGUGCUGCCCCCAUGGAGAACUCAUAAGCAACACCCACGAGCAAACUUGAGCCUCGGAACCACAGGUAAGACCAACUUUUCUGCUGCAAGUGACCUGCCUGGUGAACUCAAGACACAGGCCCACAGGAACAGCUGAAGACCUGUAGAUAGGAAAAACUACACGCCCGAAAGCAGAACACUCUGUCCCCAUAACUGGCUGAAAGAAAACAGGAAAA
rnacentral:lncRNA from 1 species